UACAGAGGUCUCAAGCGUUGUUCGGAUUCAUUGGGCGUAAAGGGUGCGUAGGCGGCGCGGUAAGUCGGGUGUGAAAUCUCGGAGCUUAACUCCGAAACUGCAUUCGAUACUGCCGUGCUUGAGGACUGGAGAGGAGACUGGAAUUUACGGUGUAGCGGUGAAAUGCGUAGAUAUCGUAAGGAAGACCAGUGGCGAAGGCGGGUCUCUGGGCCAGUCAAUCGUGACGCUGAGGAGCGAAAGGCAGGUGGGAGCAAACGGG
rnacentral:rRNA from 1 species